UUCCUCUCAGCCACCCUGCAUCCAUCCAUUUCCCACCCCAACCUGCAAAAGGUAACCACUGGAUGGGCCCGGUGGCUCACACCUGUAAUCCCAGCAUCUUGGGAGGCCAAGAAUCAGAAAUCUGAGCGUAGGAAGAAGUGGGUUAGCCCUGGAGAAAGGAAAAGGAGGAUCAUGGUUCUCUGCAAAGAGCUGGAAGCUAAAAAGCAGGCUGUGUUUACUUACCAACCAGGACUCAGUGGGAUCUUUGCCAGCUUCCAAUAUGGCCUUAAAAGUAUAUGAAAUCCAAGAAAUAUUUCUGCAAAGCAAGAGAUCUUCACUGCUUUAUUUUCCACCACCUGAAUCCUUGCAGUGAGUGUAGUGUGUAUCUAAUCAAUCUAUUAAAAAAUACUUCAAAAGUUCUA
rnacentral:lncRNA from 10 species